rnacentral:misc_RNA from 1 species
GGACUACCCGGGUUUCUAAUCCUGUUUGCUCCCCACGCUUUCGCGCCUCACCGUCAGUUGUCGUCCAGUAAUCCGCCUUCGCCACUGGUGUUCUUCCUAAUAUCUACGCAUUUCACCGCUACACUAGGAAUUCCGAUUACCUCUCCGAUACUCAAGGGAAGCAGUUUCAAAUGCAGUUCGCGAGUUGAGCCCGCGGAUUUCACAUCUGACUUGCCUCUCCGGCUGCACGCCCUUUACACCCAGUAAAUCCGGACAACGCUUGCCACCUACGUAUUACCGCGGCGGCUGGCAC